UCCAGACUCUGUUAUGUCUAAUAGCAAGUUUUUAGUAGUUGGUCAAUAUGUUUGAGAUUAAUUAAGGGACACAUCUGAUGUUCAUUUGGCAGAUCUCUGGGCUUGCUAUUGGUGUUGCAGCCGAUGAGAUACGAAAGCCUUGUGAGUCUGAGUGAGGGUUUAGCCUGGCCAGAAGGCCAGAAAAGACCAGAAGGUGUUGGAAGAGAGAGGAAAGAUGUGGCUACCAGAGGGAGAAAACCCACGCAGGAAGACUUCAUGAUGUGCAAAUUGGUCAUCAUCUUCUUCCCUGCAUAAAACUUCACGGACAUUUUAUUACUCAUCAGACCUUUCAAGGUUGGAUAUUUGGGAUGAUAGGGUAAAGUUACCAAAUGCUAGGUUUAACCCGAAGAUGGGCAAAACACAAGAACAGACACAUGGUACAGUAUGGUGAGGCCAGUGGAUCAGGAGAAGACUGCCAUGGAAAAGAUAGCUGUUACUCAUAGUUCCCAAGAGGAGGGAGAACAACCCACCACCCAGGUCCACAUGAGGAGGCACCAGGGCCAAUGAGAAGGCAGAGGAAGCAGGAGGAAAAUGUGGAUUCAGGAGAUGUAUGUGCAGCUUUGUUAUGUGGAUAUAUUGCAUAAUGAUGAAGUUUGGGCUUCUAGUGUGCCCAUCACCUGAAUAGUGAAUGCUGUACUCAGUAGGAAACAAUUGGAGACACUGAUUAUUUUACCAAGCCUUUGACUGGUAUGACAUGUUUUCAGCCUGCUUUGAAGAAUUGAUGUUGAACUACAGAGCCAACAAAAGUUCCUUGGGAAAAUUGGUCUCAUACCUUGUCCUUUACAAGUUUCCUAACCUGUAGUAAGUAAAGAAUGUCAGUUUCUGACAGGCCCAGGAACCCCAAGUUAUUUUGGAAACAUCAAGAUGGAAGGAAUUCACUCAAUUCAUACAAGAAUCUGCAGGCACAAAUAAAUCCUUGGCUGGGCUCAAGAAGCUUUUAAAAGGUCUAAUCUGAGAUUCCUUAUUAAAAAGUCCCAGAAAAGCCAAUUUUUUUAAAAAAAAAAGGAUAUAUGGCAAUUAAUUAUUCUCACCUCACUUUAUGUGUAUAACGAGGCCAAGUAUAAUAAGACUAAAACUUAUUUUGCAAAUAAAUUAGUCUUACUAUGAUGUGUCUUUGAUAGAAAUGAAAAAGUGAAGAGAUAAACAUUAUUUCAGAAAAAUUAUAGUACACCUGUUAUUAGAUUCUAUUCUUGUCCAUUGUUUUUGAGUCUCUGCUAACAACCCAAUAUCUGACUGGUUUUCAUGGUCAUUCACCUGGAUCCCUCAAAGCCUCAGGUGAGUUUUACAGAGACUCCUGAAGCUAAGACUCUUACUCCUUAUGUUAGGGCUCAUUAUUUAUCUUAUAGUCCACUGUUCUCUCAAGUGCAGUACUAAAGCUGUGGAUAAUAAUAUUAGUGUUUUUGUUAUGCAGAACUUGAGACCGCAACUAGGCACCUAUGAAUACAUAGGCACCUGUGAAAACAUACAGUCAACUGCAAAAUGGUUUCACUCCUCUUGCCUUUGGGGAAACCCCUAUCCCAACUAUGCCCACUGUCAACAGGAAGAAGUUAGAGGAGUCGUCAGUCUUUUUCCAUCUCCAUAGCCCAUGCCUAAGGAUUGAGGUAUGGUGAAGCCCAAGGAAGGAAUUGAAACCACCUUUGCAGAGAUCAUGAGGGUGAGAGAAAUCUAACAUGGCUGACUGCAUCUUUCUUCUAGCCUCACAGACUGGCUGUCUUUACUCAUUUCUGUGCAUAGGCCAAACUAACCAUAGGAAGAGUUUAGUUUAGUUUAACUUGGAAACAAGCACGAUAAUAAUCCUUCCCUAAAACUAACCCUCUCUUUGCUCAGGGACUGAAAAUUAAUGAAAGGCCAUGAGAUAAGAAUUAUGGGAGGGGCCUGAAAUCUGCUGAGAUGUAGGUGUAGCUUAUAUAAUCCUAUAUUGCUCAGGAGUCAUGUGGGCAGAGGUCAGAAGAUGUGUAACUUCCCCAAUUGAUCCUAUAGAUGACCUCACCAUUGUAGAACUUGUGUUAGUUCAUUUGCUGUGCUAUAAAGAAACACCUGAGGCUGGGUAAUUGAUAAAGAAUAGAGGUUUGUUUGGCUCAUGGUUGUGCAGACAUAUAAGCAUAUAGGCAUGACACCAAUAUCUGCUUAACUUCUGGUGAGGUCUUAGGAAGAUUUUACUUAUGGCAGAGGGUGAAUGGGGAACAAGCGUGUCACAUGGUGAGAGAGAGAGCCAGAGAGCUCCCAAAUUCUUUUAAACAACUAGUUCUCAUGGGAAAUGAUAUAAUGAGAACUCACUCAUUACUGUGAAAAGGGCCCCAAGCCAUUCACAAGCAGUCUGUCCCCAUGACCCAAACAUCUCCCACCAGGCCCCACCUCCAACACUGGGGACCACGUUUCAACAUGAGAUCUGGAGGGUAAAAACGUCCCAACUCUAUCAGUGAGAUUGGUCUUUUGAGAUGUUUUCCAGACUUUUGAAUUCUGGCAACUGACUGGCCCCCACCUGGACUCAUGAUUCAACCAGUCCUAUGGCCCCCAACAGAGAGGUGAGCUCAGCACAAGAGGACUGUUUUCCACAUCCUUAUACUUGCAUCUCCAACCAAUCAGCAACACACAUUCCCUAGUCCCCUGCCCACCAAAUAUCCUUGAAAAACCCUAACCUCCAAACCUUCAGAGAGACUGAUUUGAGUGAUAACUUCAGUUAUCCCAUGUGGUCAGUCUUGCAUUAAUUAAACUCUUGUUUUUAGUGCAAAAUAACUCAGUGAAAUGGUCUUCUCUGUGCAAUGGGCAGGAAGAUCCCAUCAGGUGAUUAAUGACAUUAUAUGAACCUCUUCUGUGACUGUAGCCAGCCUACCCUGCAUUUCUGGCAAUAUGAGCCUAUUUUAUAAACCACUUGCUGCUUUAGCCAUUUUGAAUUGGGUUUCUGUCACUUGCAAAAGGAAAGUUCUGAAAAAUACAGAGCCUAAUCAAAUUUUGUGAGUACUAAAUGAAAAACUAUGUAAAGAGCUAAAAGGACUAUCUGUUACAUAAAAGAUAUUCACACUACAAGGCUACAGUAACCAAAACAGCAUGAUACUGGUACCACAACAGAGACAUAGAUCAAUGGAACAGAACAGAGCCCUCAGAAAUAAUGCCGCAUAUCUACAACUAUCUGAUCUUUGACAAACCUGACAAAAACAAGCAAUGGGAAAAGGAUUCCCUAUUUAAUAAAUGGUGCUGGGAAAACUGGCUAGCCAUUUGUAGAAAGCUGAAACUGGAUCCCUUCCUUACACCUCAUACAAAAAUUAAUUCAAGAUGGAUUAAAGACUUACAUGUUAGACCUAAAACCAUGGAAACCCUAGAAGAAAACCUAGGCAAUACCAUUCAGGACAUAGGCAUGGGCAAGGACUUCAUGUCUAAAACACCAAAAGCAAUGGCAACAAAAGCCAAAAUUGACAAAUGGGAUCUAAUUAAACUAAAGAGCUUCUGCACAGCAAAAGAAACUACCAUCAGAGUGAACAGGCAACCUACACAAUGGGAGAAAAUUUUUGCAACCUACUCAUCUGACAGAGGGUUAAUAUACAGAAUCUACAGUGAACUCAAACAAAUUUACAAGAAAAAAACAGCCCCAUCAAAAAGCGGGUGAAGGACAUGAACAGACACUUCUCAAAAGAAGACAUUUAUGCAGCCAAAAAACACAUGAAAAAAUGCUCAUCAUCACUGGCCAUCAGAGAAAUGCAAAUCAAAACCACACUGAGAUACCAUCUCACACCAGUUAGAAUGGCCAUCAUUAAAAAGUCAGGAAACAACAGGUGCUGGAGAGGAUGUGGAGAAAUAGGAACACUUUUACACUGUUGGUGGGACUGUAAACUAGUUCAACCAUUGUGGAAGUCAGUGUGGUGAUUCCUCAGGGAUCUAGAACUAGAAAUACCAUUUGACCCAGCCAUCCCAUUACUGGGUAUAUACCCAAAGGACUAUAAAUCAUGCUGCUAUAAAGACACAUGCACACGUAUGUUUAUUGCGGCACUAUUCACAAUAGCAAAGACUUGGAACCAACCCAAAUGUCCAAAAACGAUAGACAGGAUUAAGAAAAUGUGGCACAUAUACACCAUGGAAUACUAUGCAGCCAUACAAAAUGAUGAGUUCAUGUCCUUUGUAGGGACAUGGAUGAAACUGGAAACCAUCAUUCUCAGUAAACUAUCGCAAGGACAAAAAACCAAACACCACAUGUUCUCACUCAUAGAUGGGAACUGAACAAUGAGAACACAGGGACACAGGAAGGGGAACAUCACACUCUAGCGACUGUUGUGGGGUGGGGGGAGCAGGGAGGGACAGCAUUAGGAGAUAUACCUAAUGCUAAAUGACGAGUUAAUGGGUACAGCACACCAACAUGGCACAUGGAUACAUAUGUAACAAACCUGCACAUUGUGCACAUGUACCCUAAAACAAAGUAUAAUAAUAAUAAGAUAUUCACUAAAUAUCAGUUCCCCUCUGCCUCCCCCCUCCCAAUCUCUGUAACACCACACACAAUCCCUGUGCAAGCACAAACAAUAAUAUAUGAGUGAAAAUAUAUAGAGUUUUAAAUUUACAUUUAUCCUCCAUAUGAGAAAGAAACAAGUGAGAAAAAUAACCUCUUAAUAACUACAGGAUCAGCCACAUAUUUUCUUAAUAAAGGAGACCACUACUUUUUUACUUAGACACAAGAUAUAGCAGCUUUUCUCCAAAAACAUGAAAAGCAAUUGCUGACUUAUUGAUAAGUAAGGCUCAUAAUGCUAAAAUAUGAGAAACUUUAAUCUUAAGCUCAUGCAAUGUUACCAUAAUUACUAGUUGGACUGGGAUAUUUAGUUUCCUAAAAGUUUGUAGGGACAAUAAUUAUUUGCAAGCUUAGGCUAACUAGUAGAUAUUGAGAAAGAUGAUUUUUCCUUAAUUUUAUAUGUUGAGAUUAAAACAUGGUUCUAUUUGAA